UAAGAAUUUUCUAACAAAAAUUCAAUUGAUUUGGAUAUCUUUACGUCGUUAAACGAGAAAACGCCUCUUAUCGACCAUUAAAAUUACAAAUUUUGAAACCCUUUGAUCAUUAGGCAAAUGAUGUCGAAAAGAUUUGAAAUUUAAUUUCUAAACACUUCAAGUGGUAUAGAUCAUAUUCAACGGAGCUGAUCGUCAAUUUGGAAGUUCUAUCAUCGAAAACAAAUCGGUAGUAAAACGGCACGUUUACUACCGAUAGUAUUCUAGCUCAACUCUAUAUAUAUAUAUAUAUAGAGAGAGAGAGAGAGAGAGAGAGAGAGAG
rnacentral:lncRNA from 1 species